rnacentral:pre_miRNA from 14 species
AUAUGGAGAGCUGGGAUUCGACCGCUGAUCGAGCCCAGCUCCUGUAAAGUACUCUCAUUGAAAGAUCCCCGAAGAGAGACCCUUACUCAAGUCUUGGGAAAUUGCGGACCCCAGACACAGAGAGACCA